UACGUAGGGGGCGAGCGUUGUCCGGAUUUAUUGGGCGUAAAGAGCGUGUAGGCGGCCAGGUAGGUCUGCUGUGAAAACUCGAGGCUCAACCUCGAGACGUCGGCGGAAACCAUCUGGCUAGAGUCCGGAAGAGGAGAGUGGAAUUCCUGGUGUAGCGGUGAAAUGCGUAGAUAUCGGGAGGAACACCUGUGGCGAAAGCGGCUCACUGGACCACAACUGACGCUGAGGCGCGAAAGCUAGGGGAGCAAACAGG
rnacentral:rRNA from 1 species